ensembl:lncRNA
GAACAAGCAAGGCAAUGGCAGAUGAAAUUAAAUGUUGACAAAUGCAAGUUAAUGUGCAUUGGAAGGCAUAAUGUGACCUACUCAUACACAUUGCUGCAUUUUAAAUUAACUGUAACCACUCAGGGAAAAGACCUAGAGGUUAUUGUGAACAGCUCAAUAAAAACAUCUGUUAAAUGAACAGAAGCAGUCAGAAAAGCAAACAAAACAUUGGGCCGUACAAGGGAGAUUUUAUAUUAUCAUUUAUAUUAUGAUAAUACAUCAGGACACUGAAAACUGCUUUCUGUUGUGCCAGGCUCUGUGUGAGCAGAGAGUGAAAAGGCAUCCGAGUGUGACCAGACACCAAUGGAUAAGGAGAUUCCUGGAGCAGAGGUUUGCCUUCAAGCAAGGAGAACUGUGUGAUGUGCAAGACUUCUGGCUCUGCAAGCAGCUCAACAAGGUGUGUCCAGAUGGAGCAGAGCAGUGCGAGCCCUAGAAGAUGCCCCUGAGGAACCUGGCCUGCCCUCACGCAGCUCUAUUCCCACUGUUCCGAGCAACUGCAGGAAUGGUUUCAGGAGCAGCCAUAGCUCUGCCUUCUGCCACAUAAAUCCUCGGCAGGAGUUCACCGGGCCGAACCUUAAAGAUGAUGACUCACUUUACAGAGAUCUCUCCCAUUUUUCAUCUCCUGGCGUCUGAGCGCAUUGGUGCUGCUCUCCUGCCAGGAUGUGAAGAGCCGUGAAAAAUCUGAUCUCUCUGACGCUGAUGUUAAACUAUGGCAAAUAAAUACACUGCUCCAAUGCAGUUACAGCUGUCCGGGUUGUUCCAGUGCCCUGUAUGAAGUUGUCAUCCAAAUAAGUAACUGUUUGCUUGAUCUCCAUUUUACCCAUAAGCGUUUUCCGGGGAGGGGGGGAAGAAUGAUAACAAAUCAAAAAUGGGCUAUUCCCUGUGGGCUUCUUUCCCUUUUAUUACAGGGGUUUGAUGGAUCUUAUCUCACCUUGGUGCAUCUCUCUGCUUAAAUCUGAUUCAGCACAUGAAAAGUCCAGCAGCAGACUCCUGCGACCACGCCUGGAGCUGGGCUGACAGACGGAGCAAGGACGACGUCCUGAGCUUUGGCUUGGCUGCUGUAUGGGGAAUAAUUCUUGUGGGCCCCUUUCUGCUUGUGUGAGCGUUUUCGGAGCAUCUUCAGAAGCACCAGCCCUCUCCUCUGUCGUAUUAUUUUUGUUUGUAAAUCCUGGCUGAAGAAGGAUCUCGGCUCAAACAUAAAGCUCCAUCUGACCUGAGCAGCACGGGGCAAAUCUGGGAUCAAGCCUGUGAAGAAAACGGGUUUAUUAGCCUUAUAAAUUGAAUCUGGAGUUCUUGGUGCAAAUAACCUAGUACCCUCCCAAGUGACUCUGCUUUAAUGAGAACUGUCAAAGCUGCAGGUCUGACAGAUGUGAUAAAGAUUGGACAACUCUAGGGGUGGACAGCCAGGUUCCAGUGUGCUUCUGCCCAGCCUAGAAAAGCUCCCUCAGCAACACCACGGCUUCUCUCCCUACGGAUGGAGGGAAGUUCCCAACAUAUUCUCACAUUCCUCCAGUUAAAAACUUCCCACCCACAGACAUCCCAGAGCAUCCCUUUGGAGAACGAAACACAAAGGGAAUCCAAGAUGAUGCUUGGCUUCCUGCUGCUGAGACAAAUAGUGAGGCUGUUAAACUCUACCAUUGUCCCACGUCCUUUAGAGUGGAAAGAGUUUGUACUCCUUGCUCUAAGAUUUACGCAGCAGUGCUCUCCAACGCCAGGCAGCUGGGAAGUCCCCAUCUGAAACCUCUCCACAAGCUGAUGGGAAGCAGCAAGACCCACACUGCCUUCAUCAUUGUCAUCCCCAUCAAUGGAGCCAACGGGUCAGAAAACUCCCAUCCGUUACACCUAUGGCAUGCCAUCAGCUCGCAGGUGAUGAGGAAAAGCAGAUGCAGUUUUUGGUGAGCCAGUUGUUCUCCCGUUUGCGCGUCCCAAAAUGAGCUUCAAGAUUCCAAGCAUGCUUCACGCUGUAGGGUUCUGUCCACAGGGUCUGGGCUGGAUGUGACCUUAGGAGUGAAUGCAGUGUGGGGAACAGAAAAAUUCAGCAAAAAAAGAGCAAAUGUGUUAACGGAGGGCAAAAAAAACAACAACAUCAUGUAGUUCCCUCUAUUCUUAGUUUUAUGCAUUCGGCCAGUUCUGGAGUGACUGAAAACCUGAGAAUUUGAAAGGAAUGUUGUGAUUUCAGCCGAGUUCAAUAUUCUCUUCAAUAUUUUGAAAAGUGGAAGUCUUAGGCAGCUGAACAGAACUAUU